rnacentral:rRNA from 1 species
UACGUAGGGUGCGAGCGUUGUUCGGAAUUAUUGGGCGUAAAGCGCGUGUAGGCGGCUCCUUAAGUCUGAUGUGAAAGCCCCGGGCUCAACCCGGGAAGUGCAUUGGAAACUGGGGAACUUGAAUACGGGAGAGGGUAGUGGAAUUCCUGGUGUAGGGGUGAAAUCCGUAGAUAUCAGGAGGAACACCGGUGGCGAAGGCGGCUACCUGGACCGAUAUUGACGCUGAGACGCGAAAGCGUGGGGAGCAAACAGG